GACGAACGCUGGCGGCGUGCCUAAUACAUGCAAGUCGAACGGAGCGGCGGACGGGUGAGUAAUGCCUAGGAAUCUGCCUGGUAGUGGGGGAUAACGUCCGGAAACGGGCGCUAAUACCGCAUACUAUCAGAUGAGCCUAGGUCGGAUUCGCUAGUUGGUGGGGUAAAGGCCUACCAGGGCGACGAUCCGGAACUGGUCUGAGAGGAUGAUCAGUCACACGGGAACGUGGAAACGGUCCAGACUCCUACGGGAGGCAUCAGUGGGGAAUAGUGGACAAGGGGCGAAAGCCUGAUCCAGCCAGGCCGCGUUGGUGAAGAAGGUCUUCGGAUUGUAAAGCACUUUAAGUUGGGAGGCGUUACCAACAGAAUAAGCACCGGCUAACUUCGUGCCAGCAGCCGCGGUAAUUC
rnacentral:rRNA from 1 species